CUUGCUAUGAAUGACCUGAACAGGCGAGACCAAAAGAUCUGAUUUUACAUCAGUGAGGAUUUCCCUGGGCCUGAUUAGAGGAACAUGAAUUCUAAUUGGUCAGGGCUUCCUAUUUAAACCCAAAAAGUGGCAUAGGAAGUUGUCUGACUAUCUGGGGGUCUACCUGGUUGUUAUAUUAGACUCUGCUUCCCUGCCUUGUUUUGAUCCUUGCUCCUAGACUCUGAUUCUGGCUCUGACCCUGGGCUUGACUUCCAACUCUGAUUCCUGCUCCAGCCAUCUACAUCUUGGCCCCAAUGCUUAAAAGGAGGACAGCCCUGCAGGGAGCAAUGCUUUUAAGUGGUUUGGCUGGAGAUUGUUGUGGGGAAACAGAGCUAGAGGGCUGUGAUGCUGAGUCUUGCUUGCUGAAGUUGCCAGGAGGUGAUACUCUGAGCCUCAGAUGGAUCACGGCAUGUCCAGCUUCUCUGAUUCUCCCAAAACAGUCCAGGCUGUCUUGAGAUUCCUUUAAAUACUAGGAGCAGGCCCUUGCAGUAUGUGCACAUCUUGAUCAAAGUUCGUCUGAUUGUCUGCCUCAGCCUCAAGAUGUUGGAUUCGGACCUACCAAUGUGCUUGGGAAUGACAGGCAGCACAGGAUGGACUCGGACCUAUGACUGAUCAAUCAGGAUCGGGAUUACUUCUCAGGUGCUGAUGAAGAGAGCAGAACAUAUCAAGAAAUACUUGUCUUCAGAUAUCUUGUUUAAUUUAUGCUAACUAUUUCUUUACAAAUAGUAUAGUUCUGCAAUGUCUUUUUGAAAACAAAUUGCAAUGAAAAAUACUGGGCCAGAACUGCAAACAUACAGAUGCUGUGACUACUGCUUAUUACACUACACUAAUCAGAAGGGUCACUUUGUGCUUUUCCCCGGGUUUUGUAUUUACCUGGUUUCACCAGCCUUACACUUAAGCUCUUUGGGUAUGUCAACUACAUCUGGAAACAAGCCUCCCUGGCCAGAUCCACAGUCACGUUAGUGAGGCUUGCACUAAUAAAUAGCUAUGUAGAUGUUGUUUUGACAUUGAGCCUUGGGCUCAGGGACUCAAGACUAUUCUCUUUCUCUUCCCCUCUCCAGCCACCCCCAGGCUUCAGAGCCCGAGCUGUAAAGUUUACUCAGCUACCUAGGCUGGGAGGCUUGCUCCCCAGUGCGGCAUAGACAUGCUUUACAGCCAAGAUGUAACAUCUAGUUUGGAUUUUUUUGGAUCAAAGAUGCAUGGUGAACAGAGAUCUUUCACUGUAUUGUCAACAAUCAUGCAUAGAGCUUAAGGUAUAUUGAACUAAAUGGAAAUCCUUCCUUUAGUUAAUUUGGAACACAGUAAUAUUAGUGUGUGCAUGAUAUUGCCAUUGUCUACAUACAAUUUUUAAGUAUCAGAGUUAUCGAUUCACCUAGUUUUUCAGGGUCCUCUAAUUUUCCUUAACAGUUAGA